GUGGACAUGAGGGCCUCUGUGCAGCUCCUCAGCAUCCUGCUGCUCUGGCUCCCGGGUUCCUGGUGUGAUAUCCAGAUGACCCAGACUCCAUCCAUGUCUGCAUCUCUGGGAGAGAAAGUCACCAUCACCUGCAAGGCCAGUCAGAGCAUUAGCAAUUGGUUAAACUGGUAUCAGCAGAAACCAGGGAAAUCUCCCAGGCUCCUGAUCUAUUAUGCAACCAAUUUAGGACCAGAUGUCCCUUCCCGGUUCAGUGGCAGUGGAUCUGGGACAGAUUUCACUCUCACCAUCAGCAACCUCAAGUCUGAGGAUGCUGCCACUUAUUACUGUCACCAAACUUUGAGUAACCCUCCCACAGUGGUACACGCCAGAACAUAA